AGUAGGUCUACAUGCAAGCUUGAGCGUUAGCUGCAGGCACCGUCUUCUCAUCUAACAUCUACUCAAUGAGACUUUCUAAAGUGCUUGUCAAUGAAGAUUAUGUAAUUAUCCUAUUUGUUUGACUUCAGAUCGACCGCAUCAACUUCGCAGAUGUUUUUAUGAAUUCGUUCUACUAAGCCUUCUAGAAGGAAAGACAUCUCUUCCUAUAUCUGAGCCUGGUAGCUUCCUUUAUCUGCUCCUGCAAGUCAUAAUGAGGAUUGACCCUCCUGGAGGAGCCUGGACAGAGGCUGCUGAGAACUUCUACCUCCUCGUUAAGGGCCAGAUGAAGGCAUGGCUACAAUCCAUCUUCAACCUCAAUGAGUCAAUCUAUGAAAGCCCAGAGAGGCUCUCGGGG